GCGGAUUUAGCUCAGUUGGGAGAGCGCCAGACUGAAGUCUCAUCUGGAGGUCCUGUGUUCGAUCCACAGAAUUCGCA
rnacentral:tRNA from 1 species